UACGUAGGGUACAAGCGUUGUCCGGAAUUAUUGGGCGUAAAGAGCUCGUAGGCGGUCUGUCGCGUCGGCUGUGAAAACCCGGAGCUCAACUCCGGGCCUGCAGUCGAUACGGGCAGACUGGAGUUCGGCAGGGGAGACUGGAAUUCCUGGUGUAGCGGUGAAAUGCGCAGAUAUCAGGAGGAACACCGGUGGCGAAGGCGGGUCUCUGGGCCGAUACUGACGCUGAGAAGCGAAAGCAUGGGGAGCGAACAGG
rnacentral:rRNA from 1 species